CGACAUCUUCGAAGUCACUACGUGCACGUUUUCCUCAUCAUGCUGAUUUGAAUCUAAAGGAAAAAUUGAAAUGAAUCAUCCGGCAAAAGUCUGAGCAUCGACAGCAGAGUGUCCAAAGUGAGGUGCAGACGCUAAAAGCCAAAACAUCAUUAUCUAAUUAUAAAGUUUGUGCAAAGGAUUAGUGUCCCAUCAACCCCCCACAUAAGGAGCUGCUUCUUAACCUACCGCUGCGUGGAAUAUGAGAUGCAAGGGUAACUGUAACCUCUAUACUGAUUGAUUGUAUAAUUACUGAUGAGUUGCAUUGAUACUACAAUUCGGGCAUUUGGUGUAUGCUUUUCUGUUAAUUAUUGGAUAUUUAUAUGUUUUAUUCCUUAAAAAAAGCAGAUUUGGGGUCAAUACAUAGGGUUUCACAUUUUCUAUGCAUUUUUAUACAAAAGGAUUAUUUUUACAUUUUGCGUUGAAAAAAAAAACAGUUUUUAUUUUCUUGUAAACUAAAUCUGUAUUAUUACCUCGUAUUUUAAAGUAAAAACCUAAAUGGUCCCAAUUGUAAGCAAAA